rnacentral:rRNA from 1 species
GACGAACGCUGGCGGCGUGCCUAAUACAUGCAAGUAGAACGCUGAAGGAGGAGCUUGCUUCUCUGGAUGAGUUGCGAACGGGUGAGUAACGCGUAGGUAACCUGCCUGGUAGCGGGGGAUGACUAUUGGAAACGAUAGCUAAUACCGCAUAAGAGUAGAUGUUGCAUGACAUUUGCUUAAAAGGUGCAAUUGCAUCACUACCAGAUGGACCUGCGUUGUAUUAGCUAGUUGGUGGGGUAACGGCUCACCAAGGCGACGAUACAUAGCCGACCUGAGAGGGUGAUCGGCCACACUGGGACUGAGACACGGCCCAGACUCCUACGGGAGGCAGCAGUAGGGAAUCUUCGGCAAUGGACGGAAGUCUGACCGAGCAACGCCGCGUGAGUGAAGAAGGUUUUCGGAUCGUAAAGCUCUGUUGUAAGAGAAGAACGAGUGUGAGAGUGGAAAGUUCACACUGUGACGGUAUCUUACCAGAAAGAGACGGCUAACUACGUG